CCCUGAUUCACAAAAAAGGUUAUAUCCAAAAAAUUGAUACUAUCUGCAUCGUACGUAUGUGUGAAUUUCAAACCGUAAUUAUUAAUAUUUAUAUAUUGUAAGAACUCUUCCAAUUCUUGCUGUGUGCCCUUCCAAAUUAAGAAAACGUCAUCUAUAAAAUGUUUCCAUAGGACCAGGUUUGCAGCCCAGCUAUGCCCCCUCCAUAUUGAGUUGGCUUCCCAGUCUCUCAUGUAAAUGUUGGCAUAGCUGGGGGAAAACCUGGUCCCCAUGGCUGUAUCCAUUUGUUGAAGGUAGAAAGCUUAAUUGAAAUAAAAAUAAUUAUGAUGAAGAAUGAAAUGUAUACCUUUUAAUAAAAAAAUUUUUUAGGGAACUUGGCAUGUUUAUAUCUUCUCCCAUAAUUCUUUUAACCGCUAUCAGACCCACUUCAUGUUUGAUAAUGGUGUAUAGAGAUGUCACGUCUAUCGUAACCCAUAUGUUCUUUUGGUCCCACUGUUGAUUAUCAAGAAUUUCUAAAAUAUGGGAUGAAUCCCGUAUAUAAGAGGGAGCUUCUUGGGCAUAUUUUUGUAAAUGAUAGUCUAUAAAUUCUGAUAAGUGUGCAGUUAUUGAAUUUAUCCCACUAAUGAUAGGUCUUCCCGGGGAUACAACAGAAUUUUUAUGUAGUUUCAGCAAAAAAAAAAAAAUGGAAUUACUGGAUAUUUAUUGAAAAGGUAUUGAGCAUUCUCUUUGGUAAUAACAUUCUUUUGUACUGCAAAAUUUAAUAAAGAUUCAAAUUCAAAAUUAAAAUCUGUCGUGGGAUCUUUAUUUAAUUGAAUAUGUCUUUUUAUCCCCCAAUAUUCUAUGGGCUUCCUUGAGAUAAUAUUCUUUUGUCACUAUUUCUCCUCCCUUAUCCGCCUCUUUGAUGAUAAUUUCUUCCAUGCCUUGUAGUUUCCUAAUACUAUCAGCUUCCUCUUUACCAAGAUUGAAUUUGUUUUUCCUUUGUUUAUUCAAAUUGAGUUCUAAUUGUUCCAAAUCUGCAAUUACCAUAUUAUUAAAGGUCUCUAAAUGGGGACCUUUUAGAUGUAUUGGAUAAAAUGUAGAUUUAUUUUUGAACUCCUUUUUUGUUCCAUCUAUAUCUAAAAUUGAUGAAAUAUCCUCUCUUGUUUUAGAAAAAAACCUUUUGAGGGUCAUUCUUCUAAUAUAUUUUUGGAGGUGUCAAAAUGAUUGAUAUUUUUAUUUGGGGCAAAUUUUAAACCUUUUUUAAUGCCUGUAUAUCUGUUGGGGUUAAUUUGAUUUCUGUUAAAGUAUAUAUUCCUGCUUGUUUCUCUAGUUCCUUCUCAGGUGGUUUUCUUCCCUCCACAAUAUUUCUAACGACCUUUUCCUUUUGGGUGGAGUUUCCGUGAGAUCUUCCAGAGGAGAAAAUCUGUUCUCCCAUGGUUUCUCUCACGGUUUGAAAAAUUGUGUGAUUCGCCUUUCUUUUUGGUCUAGCUCCCUCCCUAAAAAACGUAAAAAAAAUAUAUAUUGAAUAUUUUCCUGAUUCCUCUAUGAUUGAAGCUAUAAUUUCACACAAUAGUUAUAUAAUUUUCUUGUGUUUUGUUUAUUGUUUUUUUUUCUUUUAAAAGGAGUGUAUUUCUAUUUAUUUGUAAUAUUUGUUGAUAAUUUUUCUCCAAAUCCGUUUCCUUAUAG